GCUGGGCGUGGUGGCGUGCGCCUGUAAUCCCAGCUACUCGGGAGGCUGAGGCUGGAGAAUUGCUUGAACCUGGGAGGCGGAGGUUGCAGUGAGCCGAGAUCAUGCUACUGCACUCCAGCCUGGGUGACAGAGUGAGAUUCCGUCUCAA
ensembl:misc_RNA Metazoa_SRP Metazoan signal recognition particle RNA